CAAAUUACCCAAUCCCGACACGGGGAGGUAGUGACAAUAAAUACUGAUACAGGGCUCUUUUGGUCUUGUAAUUGGAAUGAGUACAAUUUAAAUCCCUUAACGAGGAACAAUUGGAGGGCAAGUCUGGUGCCAGCAGCCGCGGUAAUUCCAGCUCCAAUAGCGUAUAUUAAAGUUGUUGCAGUUAAAAAGCUCGUAGUUGAACCUUGGGCCUGGCUGGCCGGUCCGCCUCACCGCGUGUACUGGUCCGGCCGGGCCUUUCCUUCUGGGGAACCUCAUGCCCUUCACUGGGCGUGUUGGGGAACCAGGACUUUUACUUUGAAAAAAUUAGAGUGUUCAAAGCAGGCCUUUGCUCGAAUACAUUAGCAUGGAAUAAUAGAAUAGGACGUGUGGUUCUAUUUUGUUGGUUUCUAGGACCGCCGUAAUGAUUAAUAGGGAUAGUCGGGGGCAUCAGUAUUCAAUCGUCAGAGGUGAAAUUCUUGGAUUGAUUGAAGACUAACUACUGCGAAAGCAUUUGCCAAGGAUGUUUUCAUUAAUCAGUGAACGAACGAAGACGAUCAGAUACCGUCGUAGUCUUAACCAUAAACUAUGCCGACUAGGGAUCGGACGGUGUUAGUAUUUUGACCCGUUCGGCACCUUACGAGAAAUCAAAGUUUUUGGGUUCUGGGGGGAGUAUGGUCGCAAGGCUGAAACUUAAAGAAAUUGACGGAAGGGCACCACCAGGCGUGGAGCCUG
rnacentral:rRNA from 1 species